rnacentral:rRNA from 1 species
GAUGAACGCUAGCGGCGUGCUUAACACAUGCAAGUCGCACGGAAACGCCCUGCUUUCUUGCGAUGCUCGAGUGCCGCACGCGUGCGUAACACGUGAGUAUCCUGCCCUUGCCUUUGAGAUAACUUCAGCCAGCUGGGGCUAAUACCGGUUCGGAGCUCCUGCUGCUUGGUGGGGGUUGUUAAGUUUCGGCGGUUGGGGAUGGACCCGCGGCUUAUCUGCUUGUUGGUGGGGUAGUGGCUUACCAAGGCUUUGACGGGUAGCCGGCCUGAGAGGGUGACCGGGCACAGUGGGAGUGAGAUACGGGAGAGAGUACUACGGAAGGCAGCAGUGGGGAAUAUUGCACGAUGGGCGGAAGCAGGAUGCAGCAACGCCGCGUGAGGGAUGACGGCCUUCGGGUUUUAAACCGCAUUCGGGUGUGACGGAGCGUGUUUGAAGGUAAUGGAUAAAGAAGGACCGGCUAACUACGUG